CACAAUGUUUGUUAUUAGUCACAAUUUCACAAAGAUAUUCAUUCUCCUUUCAAUCCCAGAACAAAGAGUGCCUCGGGGGAAAACACCAGCAGCCACACCAUCCAAAAAGCAUCUCUGCAUCGUGCAGCUCUUCCCCAGCCUACAGUACAAGCCAUGGAGGAAAGAGCACAGCAGCGUGCCGAGCGCCGGAGAGAGAUAGAGGAGCGGAGGAGACAGAAACAGGAGGAGAAACUGGUAAGACUUGCCUCUCUUCAAGCAUAGAAACGUGACUAUGAUGAAACAAGCCUCUCCUUUUUUUGUUCUGUAGGCUCAAAUGAAGUCAGCUGAGGAGGAAAGACUCAGAGCUGAGGAAGAGGAGAAACAAGGGGAGGUAGAGAGGAAGAAGGAAGAGAAGAGGCAGCAGAGAAAGGUGUGUGGUCAAACACAUUAUCAUGGGUUUUACAUCAUUGGAUCAUGUUACUUUUAAU
rnacentral:lncRNA from 1 species